rnacentral:rRNA from 1 species
CCUACGGGUGGCAGCAGUGGGGAAUAUUGGACAAUGGGGGCAACCCUGAUCCAGCCACGCCGCGUGUGUGAAGAAGGCCCUCGGGUUGUAAAGCACUUUCAGUGAGGAAGAACGCCUGGUGGUUAAUACCCAUCAGGAAAGACAUCACUCACAGAAGAAGCACCGGCUAACUCCGUGCCAGCAGCCGCGGUAAUACGGAGGGUGCGAGCGUUAAUCGGAAUUACUGGGCGUAAAGCGCGCGUAGGUGGCUUGAUAAGCCGGUUGUGAAAGCCCCGGGCUCAACCUGGGAACGGCAUCCGGAACUGUCAAGCUAGAGUGCAGGAGAGGAAGGUAGAAUUCCCGGUGUAGCGGUGAAAUGCGUAGAGAUCGGGAGGAAUACCAGUGGCGAAGGCGGCCUUCUGGACUGACACUGACACUGAGGUGCGAAAGCGUGGGUAGCAAACAGGAUUAGAUACCCGUGUAGUC